UAAAAGUUUCACUCACCAUUCAUUCGGUCUGCCAUAAAUUCAAGUCAAAGAGACCUCACCAAUUGUUCUCAUCCUAGCUCCCAGCCAUCAUUGACCAGGAGAAGCCUGCUCUUUUAUUUAUAGUGUCAACAUCAGUAACAAAGAAGGUGGUGGCUUCACAAAACAGCCAAUCAGACAUUUUGUAUUCUUUCAAAAGAACCAAUCACAGACAUGUAUACAUUCAAAUAGAAUGCUAGCAGUGAUGUGUGCAACAGGCUAGGUGCAGGGGUCAAUGUUCUACUUGAGACAAAGGAACUUGAAAGCAUGGCUCUGUACAAAGCCGUGUGCAAACCAACUCACUGCUACCAUUGCCGCAAACCAUACUUAAUCAUGGAUCAGAUAACCAUAAUUUUCAUAUAGUUAUGCUAUAGUUCCCAUGUACGCAGAUCUGUUCACUUGGAGUCAUUUAAUGCAGUAGACAAGAAGUGGCCAGUCCCUUGCUGAGGCAAAAAUGAACAUCCCUAAAAGGAGCGUGCAAAUCUUCUGUGUCUAUGGAAAGGUGUUUGCGCCAAUGGUCUUCCACCAACGUCUGUAUGUGUGAAUACGCUCACAUGAGCGCAUUACAGCAAAACCGACACUGGGGGACAUCUAACAACAUACAUUAAUAGAAAUUUACACAACAGUCCUUCCUUUUUUUGUCAUAUUCUCCCAAGUGUCCCGCGCUGAUCUUCUUCUUACAUCUGGAAACAAAUCAGUCCUUACAGUCCAUAUGAGUCCAUAAAAAGGAAAACACGGCUUGACAUGUAGACUCUGUUCUUCAGGAGGGAUGACUUGUAAGGAGGACACGACAUGGUGAGCUGUAGUAAUCGCUGAUCGGUCUGGCAUCCUUUGCAUCUGGUACGUGGGUUGGUCUUCGGGUGUCUCGUCUCAUCGAGGAGGAUGUGGUCAUCUGCUCGGGCUCUGGUCACGCGUCCAAUCAGUGGCUGGCGUGGUCUCAUCCCUCAAGCUUCUCUACAAACGACCCUGUCACCUGGUUGGAAAGAAUGAAAACUGAUUACCGUGUCAGGGUCCAGGAGGGACUCCUGAACCCUGUGAAGUUCAUGUUACAGUGAUCACACCCACCCCAUCACCUGAGAAUAGAAGUGACAGCUGAUGAGACUGAAGGAAGAAAUGCGCGGUGCAGGAAAAAAGAAACAAUGAAAUAGCCUAUGAUACUUUAACCUACUUAGACUCAUAUUUAUCCAUGUGUACAGCUGUCUACAUACACCUGCUCUCUAUGUACAAACACUUCCAGAAACUCCUUGGACCUGAAAAAUACUUAUAAGCAAAAAUCAUUAUCCUUCAUAUUUAACCUGCAAAGAAUGGCAAACAAAAAUUAUAUUCCUGUACAUUGGUAAAUUGUCAAUGACAUUCUUUCAAAACCGAUUCAAACAAAACCCUCUGUAACCCUUACUUUUACCGUUCCUACAAAAAUAUAACAGCCGCGACGCGUCGGAGGAUCGCCGUGGUACGUUCGAACAUAUUCACGUUACUACAUACAAACAUUCAGAUACAAAUGUGGGGGAGAUAUUCAUAGUUUAAAAAAAAAA